UACGAAGGGGGCUAGCGUUGCUCGGAAUCACUGGGCGUAAAGCGCACGUAGGCGGAUUGUUAAGUCAGGGGUGAAAUCCUGGAGCUCAACUCCAGAACUGCCUUUGAUACUGGCGAUCUCGAGUUCGGGAGAGGUGAGUGGAACUGCGAGUGUAGAGGUGAAAUUCGUAGAUAUUCGCAAGAACACCAGUGGCGAAGGCGGCUCACUGGCCCGAUACUGACGCUGAGGUGCGAAAGCGUGGGGAGCAAACGGG
rnacentral:rRNA from 1 species